rnacentral:rRNA from 1 species
UAGGGUAAUGAAGCGAACCGGGAGAACUGAAACAUCUAAGUACCCCGAGGAAAAGAAAUCAAACGAGAUUCCCCCAGUAGCGGCGAGCGAACGGGGAGCAGCCCAGGACCUUAAUCAGCAUCAGUGUUAAGAGAACAGUCUGGAAAGGCUGGCCACAGCAGGUGAUAGCCCUGUAUCUGAAAGCACUGGUGUUGUGAGUCCGAUGAGUAAGGCGGGACACGUGUUAUCCUGUCUGAAUACGGGGGGACCAUCCUCCAAGGCUAAAUACUCCUGACUGACCGAUAGUGAACCAGUACCGUGAGGGAAAGGCGAAAAGAACCCCGGCGAGGGGAGUGAAAAAGAACCUGAAACCGUGU